UGGGGAAUAUUGCACAAUGGGCGCAAGCCUGAUGCAGCAACGCCGCGUGAACGAUGAAGGUCUUCGGACCGUAAAGUUCUGUUGCAGGGGAAGAUAAUGACGGUACCCUGUGAGGAAGCCCCGGCUAAAUACGUGCCAGCAGCCGCGGUAAUACGUAGGGGGCUAGCGUUAUCCGGAUUUACUGGGCGUAAAGGGUGCGUAGGUGGUCUUUCAAGUCGGUGGUUAAAGGCUACGGCUCAACCGUAGUUAGCCUCCGAAACUGGAAGACUUGAGUGCAGGAGAGGAAAGUGGAAUUCCCAGGGUAGCGGUGAAAUGCGUAGAGAUUGGGAGGAACACCAGUAGCGAAGGCGGCUUGCUGGACUGAAACUGACGCUGAGGCACGAAAGCGUGGGUAGCAAACAGG
rnacentral:rRNA from 1 species